rnacentral:lncRNA from 1 species
CUUCAGCCGGCACAGGCUCGGGGUCGGGGGCAGGGGCCUCAGGUACCGCCUCCGGGACGGCGUCCGUCUCGGCCGCCGGAGCCGCCUCCAUGGUGCCGACCGCCUCGGCCACCCCCGUCGAAGGCUCGGCGGGGUCUUGUUCGUAUAUUCCCGCCUCGGAUGUCAAAAUGGCGGGGAGGCCUUCCGCGUCGGACCCCCAGCCCAGGUUCUCCCUCGGACGGACUGUCGAGAGGUCGUACUGAGGGCAGUACCGGCGCAUCUGCAGCCGGAAGUUCUCGAAGCCCCGGAGGAACCCGUCCACCGUCUCCUCCUCCAACAUGUCGCGGAACUCUUGCGACUCCUUGAAGAGUUCCACGGCGUGAUCAGCCCGCUCAAGUGCCCUCCGCUCUCGGGCCUCGAGUUGCUCGAUUCAGAGGCGGGAAACCCCGUCCUCAUAUUUGAGGGCCGCGACCUCGGCCUGGACCUCCCCCAAGCGCGCCUCCGUACCGCGCAUGGCCGACCUGGUCAGGGCGUGAGCAGCCCUUUCCUCUUCAAGCGCCCCCGCCAUAGCAAGGCGCUCGGCCUCGGUGGCCGCCCUCCGAGCUUCGG